GGAGGACCUGCUUGAAGCCAGCCCUGAAUCUACAGUAAAAACAAACAACGGCUCAAUGUGCUUGCAAGAUGGUUGUCCUCCACUGACUGUCCAAACAAAGUCGCCACCUGAAUUUAGAAACGCAAACAGUUUUUCCAGGGAUCAGAGCUUUCACUGUCCAAUCAACUACGGCUAAAGCACGCAGUGGAUUGUUUUGUGCUGUCCUACCUGUCUAAGGCAAUCGCGGCCAUGGAGUAGAUGCUGGCAAACACAGCCGUGACCGGGA